rnacentral:rRNA from 1 species
CACUUUUAGCCACGGAUUUUUUGGUUUUUGCCUUGAAGAAGGACGCAAGGAAAUGCGAUAAGUAAAGGGAAAUGCCGAAAUCAGUGAAUUCUUGGAUUUUUGGACGCCCCCUGCGGUCCUUGGUAUUUCGAGGGGCCAGCCUGUUUGAGGGUCCAGG